UCGGCACCGGGUUGGCGCUGCCGAACGUGCCGUUGAAGCCGGUGCUGACCGAGGCGCCGGUGCCGAGGUUGCCGUUCCACGCCGCAUUGUUGACC
rnacentral:tRNA from 1 species